GGACGAACGCUGGCGGCGUGCCUAAUACAUGCAAGUCGUACGCUUCUUUUUCCACCGGGAGCUUGCUCCACCGGAAAAAGAGGAGUGGCGAACGGGUGAGUAACACGUGGGUAACCUGCCCAUCAGAAGGGGAUAACACUUGGAAACAGGUGCUAAUACCGUAUAACAAUCGAAACCGCAUGGUUUUGAUUUGAAAGGCGCUUUCGGGUGUCGCUGAUGGAUGGACCCGCGGUGCAUUAGCUAGUUGGUGAGGUAACGGCUCACCAAGGCCACGAUGCAUAGCCGACCUGAGAGGGUGAUCGGCCACAUUGGGACUGAGACACGGCCCAAACUCCUACGGGAGGCAGCAGUAGGGAAUCUUCGGCAAUGGACGAAAGUCUGACCGAGCAACACCGCGUGAGUGAAGAAGGUUUUCGGAUCGUAAAACUCUGUUGUUAGAGAAGAACAAGGAUGAGAGUAACUGUUCAUCCCUUGACGGUAUCUAACCAGAAAGCCACGGCUA
rnacentral:rRNA from 1 species